rnacentral:lncRNA from 1 species
AGGCAAGAGAGAAUGAGCUUGUGCAGGGCAAUUCCCGUUUUCAAAACCAUCAGAUCUCGUGAGACUUAUGCACUAUCAUGAGAACAGCAGGGGAGAAAACGGUCCCCGUUAUUCAAUUACUUCCCACCAGGUUCCUCCCAUGACACAUGGGAAUUGUGGGAGUUACAGUUCAAGAUGAGAUUUGGGUGGGGACACAGCCAAACCAUAUCACCCCAGGAGAGUGGAGAUCAGUCAUGAGAUUCCACAGUUGCUGUGGAAGCAGAAUCUAUAGAACACAGCAGCUCAACAAUCAACAGGGCUUUGAAGUGGAAAGGGAGUGGGUGGUGGGGGGGUGUGUGGCUUUAGGGUCUCUGGCUUAGGAAGCUGAGUCUCCGUAGUGCCAUUCAUACAGAUGGAAUGAGGGAAGAAGCAGUUUCAUGGGAAAGUAGUAAAUUUGAUUGAGUAACAAGAGCUUGGGGGAUCCAGAAGAGAGCUAGGUUUGCAGUUCAGGAGUCCAGGAGAGAGUCAGACUGAAAACAUAAGCCCAUGGAUAGUCAGUCAUUGAAGCCAUGGGAAUGAAGAUCACCUAUGGGAAACACAGAUAGAAGCGAAUGUUACCACAAUGAAGUGUGGUCUAUACAAUUAAUUGCUGCAAAGAGGUCAGAAUAGAGUGAUCUGUGAUAUCUUCCCACUAAUCCCAAGUCAGGAGAGAGAGAGAAUGAAGAUCCAUUGCUGUAGAGGAACAAACUGAACGUGUUGAAGGUCCCGCAAGGCCAAUGUGGCUGGAAUGCAGACACAAAGCCAGGAGGAACAAGAGAUGGGGCUGACAAGAGAGGCAGGAGUCAGAUCUCAUGGGAACUGUCACCUGCAGUGUUGCAGACCUCUUUGAAUACACCAUGAGCACUGUGGAUUCUCGCCUCUGGAGAAUAAAAAUCACAUACAGAAAAGUUCAGACAACUUUAAGGAGUUUGAAGAAUCCCUGCUAGUCGUGGACCCAUCUGGGGUUGGUGGAUUCCUCACCAUGACUCUUUGGAUUCAGAAGUCAUAUAAGAUGCAGUUUAACAAAUAUUGGAAGUCAAAUGAGCAUUCUGCGGAAAAACAGCUUCUUCCAUACAUCAUCUUCUGGAAUAUCCCAGAUCUGGAAGAGGUCACAGGAAUGUCCAUUCAUAGGGAGCUCUACCUGGAGCUCAGAGAUGAUUGAGAGAGGGUAUUCAUCAUGGAUGUGUCCAAGUGAAGGUAGUUUGGAAAGAAACAAAGUUACCCUUUUUUCUCACUAAACAUCUUAGGGUCCCCAUUAGCAGGAAGGAAGGAAGAGGACAGGUGAGCUCCCUGGUAUUGAUGUAUUUACAGAGAACCUAGGCAUCAGCCAUACAUACAGAGGACACUCAUUUGGCCAGAAUUUGGGCUUUGACUUUAAUUAAAUUCCCUUGCUCCCAAUAAGACCUCUCUUAAUCUGAAAACAAUUUGUCAUAAGUGAUGUACCUGCCAAGACCUCAUGGCAAAGAGGCAGGGGGUACCUAGUAAAUGUUGCUGACAAACUCCAGCAUGACUCUAAAGGGACAGUGGCUUCCUUUGGAUGGUCAUGUGCUGCUGCUGGACAUAGCAAUCAGAAGGACAGUGGUGAACACCCAGGAGUGAACCAAGAUGCAAAGUUCAAGUCCGAGGGAAGAAGGGUGCAGUGCGGAAGAAGGGAAGGCAGAUGCUGCAGCCCUGCCUACAAGCAAGGAGGGAGCCAUUAAGAGCCCCAAGCUGGCCAGGCGCAGUGGCUUGCGCCUGUAUUCCUAAUCCCGGCACUUUGGGAAGCCAAGGUGGACGGAUCACCUGAGGUCAGGAGUUUGAGACCAGCUUGACCAACAUGGAGAAACUCUGUCUCUACUAAAAAUACAAAAUUAGCCAGGAGGCUGAGGCAGAAGAAUUGCUAGAAUCCGGGAGGUAGAGGUUGCAGUGAGCCGAGAUCGUGCCAUUGCACUCUAGCCUGGGCAACAAGAGCGAAACUCCAUCUCAAAAAAACAAAAAAGCCCCAAGCCUACUUUAUCAGACAGAGGAAUCAAGUUGUAUUUCCUUCUCACCAAGAGACGCUGGAAAGCUGUAAUCUUACACCAGUGGAGAAAGUGAGAGGAAAAUAAACCCUUUCUAAGGAUGAAUCCUGAAAGCCUUUCACAGACAAUGCUGCUUCUAUAAGAAUGACCUGUGAUGGCUAAGCCAUCACAGUCUUCAUUCCAAUUGACAUUCUAGGUAAACCUGCGCACAACUUUUUCUGUGUAUUUUCCAAAAAAGGAUCAUUUUAUAAAGGCUCAAGUUAUUUACAAAUAUUGUGCGUAUUCUUGCUGUUUCUCAGUUCUUUAAGAACCAUACAGACAUAUUGCCUGGAUUUUCACCAGCCAAUAUGAAUGUGCUCACCUUCCCUUGGGUGAGACCACACAGGCACAACAUGCGGCUCAGGAUAAGUUUUAUUGAACGUUUAGAGAGCUAGUUAAUUAAUUAAUUAUUUUUUUGAGAUGGAGUCUUGCUCUGUCGCCCAGGUUGGGGUGCAGUGGCGUGAUCUCAGCUCACUCCGCCUUCCGGGUUCAAGUGAUUCUCUUGCCUCAGCCUCCAGAGUAGCUGGGAUUACUGGCAUGUGCCACAACACCCAGCUCAUUUUUGUAUUUUUAGUACAAACUGGGUUUCACCAUGUUGGGCAGGCUGGCCUCGAACUCCUGACCUCAGGUAAUCUGCCCGCCUCGGCCUCCCAAAGUGUUGGGAUUACAGGCGUGAGCCACAGCUCCUGGACCAAGAGCUAGUUAAUUUAAAAAAUAGUUUACAAGUUAUUUAAUAAAUGAGAAAAUGGAAACUCAGCCCCAAGGGGAAACGGGAUUCUAAGUUUAACUUCCUUAGGCAGGUCCAGUUUUGUGUGGUUUCUGUGGUAUGGGUGAGUGGUUAUCACACAAUUUGAUCUCAUGAGUAAAACUGAUGCAGGAGGACUUUUGUUCACUCUGUUUUAUUAAUGAAAUGAAUCCAGAGCUGCUUUUUUAUGCUAAAGACUUUAGAGUAAAGACAUAAUAAAGACAGCCCUUCCUCCUCUUGCCUGAGGGAAUUUAGGAAGACAUUCCUUGAGGAAUCUAUUUAGGGCUUUGGAGACAGGAAAGGUAGCAGGAUAUGGUAAGAGCAAAAGCAUCAGCUACAGUAGGUAAUGCCUGGGGUUGUUGAAACUGAAGGAAGAAAAGGUUUCCUGUACAAAAACCAAGCACCGUUUUAUUUUAAUGCUCAGCCGAGACCCCUUCCUGAGAAAACCAGCCACGUCCGUGAUUCUUGAAGAAGGUAGUUCCUCUGAGCCCUGUGUUCGCCAGAGGCCUGGAGGAGUAAGUGAGAAGUAGAGGGUGCUGCCAGCACGAAUGCUUUGUCAUUUAGAACUGCCCAGGGAGCAGUUAUAAAACACACACCUGCAAAUUACAAGAGGAUGGCAUGGGCUCACAGGUGCAGCAAGACAUGAAGUGACAUCUGUCCUCAGCGUCCCUUUUCUUGGAAUGCUCCCAUGUAGAACCCUAUGUCACUUUGAACGAACCUCUUUCUGAAGUGCCUGGGGAGCUCUAUCUCCAAGCCCCUACCCUAGGUACUUGCCUCUCCACCCAACCCCACCCCAGUACUGACGACUCAUCUUAGGAACUGGAGAUAGUGAAAGACAAGACCAAUUGAGCAUUUGGGUGGGAGAGAACAUGGCUUACAUGCUCUGCUAAUCUGGGAUCACAUUCUUCCCUACAAGUCUGAAAGCUAAGUGACAGCCCCAAGUCUCCCUCUUAGCAGGUUAGGAGGGGAAGCACACCAAGAGGCCUCACAACUGUGUGUGGAAUCACUGUGUUCUCAGUGAGGGAGAGAAAAUAGAGAAUUUUUAAAGCAUUCUCCCCAGAUAAUAGAAGUUUUGAUUCGUUCUUUCCCAAGACAAAACCAAAAGUUUGUUUAAAUCUUGUUUCGUACACACAUUGAGGAGAGCAACUUUGAGCAUCUACUGCAUACUAGGCAUUGCACUCUGUGUGGGGCAAUACAGGGGUGAUAUGGGGCGGAAUAAGGCAACUCGAGUGGCCACUAGGUGUACUGCAGAGGUAGUUAACCUGCACUUUGACAAGGCUCCCUCCCCUCCCCUCCCCUCCCCCCUCCCCUCCCCUCCC